UGGGGGAUAUUGCACAAUGGGCGAAAGCCUGAUGCAGCGACGCCGCGUGGGGGAUGAAGGCUUUCGGGUUGUAAACCUCUUUCGCUAUCGAACAAGGCCCGCUUAGGGUGGGUUGAGGGUAGGUGGAGAAGAAGCGCCGGCUAACUACGUGCCAGCAGCCGCGGUAAUACGUAGGGCGCGAGCGUUGUCCGGAAUUAUUGGGCGUAAAGGGCUUGUAGGCGGCUUGUUGCGCCUGCUGUGAAAACGCGGGGCUUAACUUCGCGCGUGCAGUGGGUACGGGCAGGGUUGAGUGUGGUAGGGGUGACUGGAAUUCCAGGUGUAGCUGUGGAAUGCGCAGAUAUCUGGGGGAACACCGAUGGCGAAGGCAGGUCACUGGGCCAUUACUGACGCUGAGGAGCGAAAGCAUGGGUAGCGAACAGG
rnacentral:rRNA from 1 species